UWGAGUUUGAUCAUGGCUCAGAUUGAACGCUGGCGGCAGGCCUAACACAUGCAAGUCGAGCGGAAACGAUGGAAGCUUGCUUCCAGGCGUCGAGCGGCGGACGGGUGAGUAAUGCAUGGGAAUCUGCCCGAUAGUGGGGGAUAACCUGGGGAAACCCAGGCUAAUACCGCAUACGUCCUACGGGAGAAAGCAGGGGAUCUUCGGACCUUGCGCUAUCGGAUGAGCCCAUGUCGGAUUAGCUUGUUGGUGAGGUAAUGGCUCACCAAGGCGACGAUCCGUAGCUGGUCUGAGAGGAUGAUCAGCCACAUCGGGACUGAGACACGGCCCGAACUCCUACGGGAGGCAGCAGUGGGGAAUAUUGGACAAUGGGCGAAAGCCUGAUCCAGCCAUGCCGCGUGUGUGAAGAAGGCCCUCGGGUUGUAAAGCACUUUCAGUGGGGAAGAAAGCCUUGGGAUUAAUACUCCCGAUGGA
rnacentral:rRNA from 1 species